CCCAUAUCUCCCCCCCUCCCACGCUCAGCUAUGCGGCUGCACUGACCGACGUGAUGACAUGACAUCAUGCUUUGUGAUAGUCUCUGAGUCCCACCGUUCACACGUACACAAUGUUUUCUUUAACCAUACAGGAUGUCUGAACAUGGAAAUCUGGUAUUAAAAAAAACAUUUUCCCAGAAAUGUCCACCCAGGUGAAUGAGCCAGUGGGAGCGAGUGACUCAUCAGCAAUAACUGUAAUUAUACAUAAGCUGCCGAAUAAGAGCUUUACACAAACACACACCCAUGCACACACACAUAAACACACACACACAUGCACACAUAGUGGUGACAGAGAGAUGUAGAAAAUGAAAUGCAAGGAUCAUCUCCUGUCUGUGGUUGUAGUCACACUAAGAGUUAACAUGCUAUUUCUCCAACCCAGCUCCAUCAUCACCUUGAUGCUAGUCGCAGAGAAUAGUCCAACUGGUUACAGUAUUAAAAUCAAUCUACUGUAGCUUUGAGCCAAUCUAGAGGUCAAUAGCUUUGAAGUCAGGUUUGGGUCUCAAACAACGCUCAGUACAUGGGAAAUCCAUGGCAACCAUUCCUACAGUAUGAAGCCACUGCUUGUUACCAGAGAAACUAAAUGUAGCCUUCAGAUAACUAUAUAUGUGACAAUAACAACAACAUGAAAUGAAAGCUGUGAUUUGUCUCAUUUUCACACUACGCCUGUUCAGCACAAUAACAUUCAGCAGUAUAUUGUGGUCGCUGUUUAAAUUGAGUCAUUCUGUAAUUGACUAGUGAGUACUCAAUCUGUAACAAUCCUUAGGCGAUUAUGGUAAAAUGGUUCUGUUAAAUGAAAAAAUAAAUGACUCAUGAUUAUUAAAAAUGAACAUAAACACACAACAGCAAAGCACACGAGAGAAAGCCUUGACACGGUUCCAGUUUGAAAAGCUCACAAAACAACUCCUCCAUUCACUCUAGGUCUAGGACUAGGUCUAGGACUAGGUCUAGGACUAGGUCUAGGUCUAGGACUAGGUCUAGGACAAUAUGGGAGAGGGCACUAUUUAGGAUGAAACAGUCUAGAUCACGACAAAAGGGGCACUUCAAUACAGAUGACGAAAAUCAAGUGCAAUGCCUUGAAAUCAAAGCUGUAACUUCUGAUAUGAACAGUCCUUCGUCCAGUCAGCACUUCAUUUCCAGUUCAAGUUUUCCAUUUCACUUCCUUUGCUUGGUGUUGCUAAUAUGCAAAUGAUUACAUUCAAUAUCAUAGGUGAAGGUUUAAAGUUAGAGUUAGGCUGUUGAAUGAGCAAUUGAGCAGAUAAGGAAACUCCAUCGCAAGAGGACAGAGAGAAGAUGGCGUAGAUUGGGUAGAGAGCACACUAAGAUCAGUCCACAUAGUUCUAAACCUUGGGAGAAAUACACAUCACAAUUCCUCUUUUGAAAUGUCAGAAUAGGACAAAGUCUGGAUGUGUACUAUCAGCUAACAGUGAAACAGCACUAGAAUAGGUAUCAGAAAACCAAUGCAAAGUCUUAGCGUGUUGUAACUGUACACACCACCUCUUUCUCAGUGUUCAUAUUCUUGUCACUGACCACUCAGAAUCCAACGGACAGUCAGACAGUCUUGGAGUGAUUUCAAUGGCUCUUGUCCAUCGUCAUAAUCAUUGUUCAUAUCAUUAUUGCCUUGCAGAUUGCCGAUCGUCCGAGCAGCAGCGCAACAACAGGUCAAUGUGAGUGUCAGACAGCGAGGUCAGUCUAUACCAGCUUGUAACUAGACUAGACCCAGUCUCACCUUGUCAAUGACUGUACAUCCAACAGCAACAUCAACCACUGGCCCUCGUCAAAGGCAGGCUGCUCUGAGAGAGAGGGAUGGGAGAGGAGGAGAGGAGGAGAAGAGGAGCUAACAGUACUCUGAUGGAAGGAUGGGAGAGGAGGAGAGGAGGAGAAGAGAAGAGGAGCUAACAGUACUCUGAUGGGAGGAUGGGAGAGGAGGAGAAGAG
ensembl:lncRNA